AGUGAUUCCCUUUUGUGUGUAUUGCACAGAAUAUGUGAAUGAUUUGAUGGACAUCUUCAUGGAGAAGGUCUUUGUCGACCCAGCAUCCUACAGAGCAGUGAUUCUGAAGAUAAACAUCCCGCGGGAACCGUCUUCAGAAUAUGAGCAUCCAGACAAGGAGGAGGUCAUCGCCAGCUACGUCUCCAGAUUUCAUCAAGGGAGGGUGGUUUGAAGCCUCCGUAUCUUCCAUGGGCGUCCGGGGAGUUCAGCUGUGGCACCAAUGUCGCUCCUCAGUCUAACAGCCUACUGGAUAGACUCCAGCUUUACUUUGCGCAACGUGGUGCUGCAUGCAAGCGAGUUGCGCGGCUCUCAUACUGCAGAGCGUAUCCAGAAAGCAACAGAAGAGAUGCUCGCCAAGUGGGAUAUCAACAAGGACCAAGUGCAUGUUGUUAUGAGGGACAACGCUGCCAACACGAAGAAGACAUUUGCAGACAUGGGGGUGCAAAGCCUGGGCUGCCUCGCACACACAUUGCAACUAGUGUUCAUCAAAAGGCCUUCUCGCCCAGCAAAGCAUCAUCGAUGCUGUCGCCAAUGCGUGGAAACUUGUUGGUCAUUUUAAGCAUUCACCAAAGGCCUACUCAAUCCUCGAAGACAUUCAGUAACUGGUAAUCUGGCCCCUCCUGGACUGCCAAUACGGCGGCGGUCGUCAAGAAGGCUCAGCAGGAAGCUCAGGAGGAACAACGUGGGAGAGAAGCUACU